rnacentral:rRNA from 1 species
UACGUAGGAUGCAAGCGUUGUUCGGAAUUACUGGGCGUAAAGAGUACGUAGGCGGUUUGAUAAGUCUGAUAUUAAAGACUGGGGCUCAACCUCAGGAAUGUAUCGGAAACUGUCAGACUAGAGGACAAUAGAGGAAGUGGGAAUUCUCAGUGUAGCGGUGAAAUGCGUAGAUAUUGGGAAGAACACCAGUGGCGAAAGCGCACUUCUGGGUUGUUACUGACGCUGAGGUACGAAAGCGUGGGGAGCAAACGGGG